UACGGAGGGUGCAAGCGUUAUCCGGAUUCACUGGGUUUAAAGGGUGCGCAGGCGGUUGGGUGUGUCAGAUGUGAAAUCCCGAGGCUUAACCUCGGAACUGCGUCUGAAACUACUCGACUAGAGUACUGGAGAGGGUAACGGAAUUCACGGUGUAGCAGUGAAAUGCGUAGAUAUCGUGAGGAACACCAGAGGCGAAGGCGGUUACCUGGACAGUUACUGACGCUCAGGCACGAAAGCAUGGGGAGCAAAAGGG
rnacentral:rRNA from 1 species